rnacentral:rRNA from 1 species
UACGAAGGGGGCUAGCGUUGUUCGGAAUUACUGGGCGUAAAGGGCUCGUAGGCGGCCAACUCAGUCGGACGUGAAAUCCCUCGGCUUAACCGGGGAAUGGCGUCCGAUACUGGAUGGCUUGAGUGUGGGAGAGGGAUGCGGAAUUCCAGGUGUAGCGGUGAAAUGCGUAGAUAUCUGGAGGAACACCGGUGGCGAAGGCGGCAUCCUGGACUACUACUGACGCUGAGGAGCGAAAGCCAGGGGAGCAAACGGG